rnacentral:tRNA from 1 species
GAAUAGCUCAGCGGUAGAGCAGUGGACUGUUAAUCCAUUGGUCACAGGUUCGAAUCCUGUUUC